rnacentral:tRNA from 1 species
UAGGGAGAUAGGAAUUGAACCUAUAAUUAAGAGAUCAAAACUCUAC